CUGACAUCUCAGAACUCGAGA
rnacentral:miRNA from 1 species